GACGAACCGUGCGAACGUUGUUCGGAAUCACUGGGCUUAAAGGGCGCGUAGGCGGGCUAUCAAGUCCGGGGUGAAAUCCUCCCGCUCAACGGGAGAACGGCCUCGGAUACUGAUGGUCUCGAGGGGGAUAGGGGCACACGGAACUGUGGGUGGAGCGGUGAAAUGCGUUGAUAUCCAUAGGAACUCCGGUGGCGAAAGCGGUGUGCUGGAUCCCUUCUGACGCUGAGGCGCGAAAGCUAGGGGAGCGAACGGGG
rnacentral:rRNA from 1 species